rnacentral:rRNA from 1 species
UACGUAGGGGGCAAGCGUUGUCCGGAAUCAUUGGGCGUAAAGAGCGCGUAGGCGGCCCUGUAAGUCCGCUGUGAAAGUCAAGGGCUCAACCCUUGAAUGCCGGUGGAUACUGCAGGGCUAGAGUCCGGAAGAGGCGAGUGGAAUUCCUGGUGUAGCGGUGAAAUGCGCAGAUAUCAGGAGGAACACCGAUGGCGAAGGCAGCUCGCUGGGACGGUACGGACGCUGAGGCGCGAAAGCGUGGGGAGCAAACAGG